UAAAGAGUAAGUGAAUAAGGGCGCACGGGGGAUGCCUAGGCUCUCAGAGGCGAAGAAGGACGUGAUAAGCUGCGAAAAGCCGCGGGGAUCGGCCCAUACGAGUUGAUCCGCGGAUGUCCGAAUGGGGCAACCCAGCCGAUUUAUCGGUUAUUCCGCAAGGAAGGCGAACGUGGGGAACUGAAACAUCUAAGUACCCACAGGAGGAGAAAACAACAGUGAUUCCGUGAGUAGUGGCGAGCGAAAGCGGAUUGGCCCAAACCGGACAUGUUACGGCAUGUUCGGGGUUAUAGGACCUGCAAGAUUGAGAGAAAUCCGACGAGAACGGCAUGGGAAGGCCGACCGCAGGGGGUGAGAGUCCCGUAUUGGAAGGAUUUUGAUUGAGGCGGGUAUCCUGAGUAGGUCGGGACCGGAGGAAUCCCGAUUGAAUUUGCCGGCACCAUCCGGUAAGGCUAAAUACUCCUGAGAGACCGAUAGUGAACUAGUACCGUGAGGGAAAGGUGAAAAGUACUCCGAAUAGGAGGGUGAAAUAGAACCUGAAACCGUGCGCUUACAAGCGGUCGGAGCCCUUAAGUGGGGUGACGGCGUGCCUUUUGCAUAAUGAGCCUACGAGUUACUCCUCUCCGGCAAGGGUAAGGCAUUGAGUGCUGUACCCGGAGCGAAAGCGAGUCUGAAAGGGCGUUUGAGUCGGAGGGGGUAGACGCGAAACUUGGUGAUCUACCCAUGGCCAGGUUGAAGUGACGGUAACACGUCAUGGAGGACCGAACCGAUAAGCGUUGAAAAGCUUCCGGAUGAGCUGUGGGUAGGGGUGAAAGGCUAAUCAAACCGAGAAAUAGCUCGUACUCCCCGAAAUGUUUUUAGGAACAGCGUCGGGAAUUGUAUGUCGGAGGUAGAGCUACCGAUAGGACUAGGGGGAGUCACAUCCUACCAAAUCCUGACGAACUCCGAAUGCCGACAUACAGAACCGGCAGUGAGGGCUGGGGUGCUAAGGUCCCAGUCCGAGAGGGAAAGAACCCGGACCUUCCGCUAAGGUCCCCAAAUUUAGGUUAAGUUGAACAAAGGUGGUCCAGUUGCAGAGACAGCCAGGAGGUUAGCUUGGAAGCAGCUAUUCCUUUAAAGAGUGCGUAACAGCUCACUGGUCGAGCGACAGGGCGUCGAUAAUAAUCGGGCAUCAAACCUAAUACCGAAGCGAAGGAUUCGACCCCGCACAUGCGGGGCGAGUGGUAGGGGAGCAUUCCAACGGCGGCGAAUGCGGCGCGUGAGCGUUGCUGGAGCUUUUGGAAAAGCAAAUGUAGGCAUAAGUAACGAUAAGGCGGGCGAGAAACCCGCCCACCGCAAGACCCAGGUUUCCUGAUCAACGCUAAUCGGAUCAGGGUUAGUCGGGGCCUAAGGCGAACCCGAGAGGGGUAGUCGAUGGACAACGGGUUAAUAUUCCCGUACUGUUCAUACAGGUGACGGAGUGA
rnacentral:rRNA from 1 species